CCUACGGGCGGCAGCAGUGAGGAAUAUUGGUCAAUGGGCGGGAGCCUGAACCAGCCAAGUCGCGUGAGGGAAGACGGUCCUAUGGAUUGUAAACCUCUUUAGGCGGGGAGCAAUGCCGGGCACGUGUGCCCUGAGGGAGAGUACCCGCAGACUAAGCAUCGGCUAACUCCGUGCCAGCAGCCGCGGUAAUACGGAGGAUGCGAGCGUUAUCCGGAUUGAUUGGGUUUAAAGGGUGCGUAGGCGGAUUUUUAAGUCAGCGGUAAAAUGUCGGGGCUCAACCCGGGCCGGCCGUUGAAACUGGGGAUCUUGAGUGGGCGAGAAGUAUGCGGAAUGCGUGGUGUAGCGGUGAAAUGCAUAGAUAUCACGCAGAACUCCGAUUGCGAAGGCAGCAUACCGGCGCCCGACUGACGCUGAGGCACGAAAGCGUGGGGAUCGAACAGGAUUAGAUACCCGUGUAGUC
rnacentral:rRNA from 1 species